ensembl:lncRNA
UUUGUAUUCAUAUUGCCUUCAUUUCUUUAUCUGAAGAAAAAACAAAUUUAAACAACAUUUUCACCAACCAUUCAUUCAAUUGUUCUGUACACAAAUAUGACAGGUUUCUUCGUAACACUCUUUAUAUAUUUAUAUAUAAAAUACACUGUUCUCCCUUAAAAGGUGUCCAUUAGAUGAGGAAUGUAGAAUUGGUUAUUUCUAGGCGAUUGGAUUGGUAACAAAUUAAUUAGCUGACCUAUGUGGGUGUGAUUAUUGCAUACCAAAAGGAAUACAUGUUAAUUUAUUGAUCAUAAUUUCAUUAUGUGAUCAGUCAUUAUUGCAUAAAUCACAUCCUGUGUGCCUUUUUGAGGAUGGAGGUUGUUUCUCCAGUGUCCCUCUAUCUCCAAUUAAAACCAACAUCCUUCAAUGGAACACAUUAUUGAGAUAAAGAAAUAAAUACAAUGGGGUGGAUGACAGACAUGGCUUACAAUCAAACAAGGUUUUCUUUUUCUUCACGAUAAAAGAUGCAGAACUCAACACAACCCUGUAGAGACGUGGGGGGGGGUAUUUACAACACAACCUAAAACAACAACCUUUAAGACACACUCACUCAUGCCUUAACUAUGAACUUACAAUCUCCUUCUCAGUCUCUCUUUCUCACACAUAAACACACAAUCACUUUCAUGGACCAUACACACACACACACACACACACACACACACACACACACAUGGUAGAUCAGGUUCACACGCAAGAAAAACUUUUUUUUUUCUUCAACUGUGGAAAGUAAAGAGCAUUCUGUACAACAAUAUGACAUUCAGAAGAAUAGAAAACACAGUCCUUAAUGUUGAGGAGGUUCAAACAUCAAAACGUAGAAAGAUACAAAAGACAAAUUUUGCGGCAUUGGCAAUAUCGCAUCUGUUCACCAAAUACAGUAGCGGUUUGGAGAUGUAGAAAGGUCAAUUAUUCACACAGAUGACCGGGUUCUUCUACAGAGGUCAAAUGAGGUGAAAGGAAAGAACAACAGGUGCAUAAACAGAGAUGGAGAGGUGAAGAAACAGUGACUGACACUGUGUGGGAGCCUGUAUGUGACAGACCCCACCGGGCCUACAGACAGUGAGAGGCUCCAGCUAGCCCCGCCCAGCUAGC